ACAACAAGCGACACAACGCAAAACGUUUAUAAAUGGAAUCGAAAGGUAAAAACAAAACUUUACAGGCAUUAGAAAGAUUUAGAACAUAUAGGCACUGGAGGUAUUUAAAGUUUUGUAAAAAACCUGGAACACAAAAAUGGAAUCCGGAAUCCGGGGGAAAAAACCCACAUGUAAUCCGGAAUCCACACACUAGGAUCCGGAAUCCACACACUAGGAUACGGAAUCCAGAACCCUAUUGGAGAACCUGUCAUGGGGCGAUACAGUGCUCUAUGAGAAAUACCUGCUAACCUUUUAGGUGAGGAGUGUAGGGAAUACAUUGGAGGUAGAAGGAAGAAAAUAAUGAUGAUAGAGUUUGUUAGUGAUGUUGCUUUUGUUGGCUUAAAAAUGUUAUAAGUGUAUGGGUGCCCCAGUCCCUCACUCUUCUCCAUGCCACCUGGCAUCCAUGAAUUGGCUUUCUUCCUUGACUUUAAUCCUCAAAUUAUAAUUAAGAUUCUCAAGUAUACACUAUCAAAUAUAAACACACGCUAUUGUUAGCUGUUCAUGUGGGCAACAAAAACAAAUUUUGAUAAUUAUCAUAAGGAAGAUUGAUUAUAACAAUUUUACAGAUGGCAGCACAUAAGGCAAUCAUUUAAAUACCCUUUUCUGCUUUUUCGUUGCAAGUUCUUACUAUUAGUGUGUUCGGUGCAUACUCAGUGUACUUAAGGCAUGGGCCUAGUGACAAAAAUAUAGAAAAAUCGAAAAAAAAAUUGCAAAACAAAAAUACAAGCGUUUUGAUUUUUAAGGUUAUACACUGUACCAAGAUGGUCCAAAUGAGAAAAAUUGUUGUCAUGCCAACCGUUCAUGUGAUCUGCAACCGUCAAAAAUUGGCGCCAAAACAUAAACAUGUCGAUUCUCCUAGCUUAAAGCCCCCCAAAAAUGUUCAUAAUUGGCCUAGAAACUUGUCGUAUGUUAUUAAACAGGUUGACAAUUUGGAUGGGUGAACAUGUUCUAGUACUUAGCUAUAAAAAUAAAGAAUACAAAAAGCUCGUAAUUUGCUGUGAUUAGGCAAAAUACAAAAAAAAUUAUGAUUACUUGCACAUCCAUCCAAAUUGCAUUUACAAAUUAUAACAUAUAAUCAAGACCUUGUUAAAGUCAGGGAUUCGAUAAACACAGAUUCAUCUGGCGCAACCGGAGUUUUAUUUAUUCGUUGUUUUCCUUUCUGUUGAGACGCCAUCUUGAAUUGCGCCGUGUGUCUAUAUAAAGAUUGUCAGCGGAUGACGCUUGAAAAAUAGACUUUUAAAAUGGCGGACGAACUGUCCUCUGUAGCACCAUGUAGCACAAUUUACCGUCUUUGUUGUACAGGAAAUAACAAAAACACAGAGGUGCUUAGGUAACAGGCAGUCACUAAGAGCACGUCAGUGAGACAGGCUAGCCCUUUCGAAUGAAAGUACAAACGCAGCGGAAGAAAGACAUGCAGAGGCAAAAAUGAAACAAAGGAAAAAAAAAUCACAUUGGAGACAUCACAAACAUGACAUGGGACAAGGCUUCAAUGGAAAAGGAAGUAGAGACACCACUUUCAAUUGGAGUGUUCUGGCAAAGAAUUAUAAUGGGCUAAUAAAAAAUGGAGAGCCUGCAAAAAAUGGCGGCCAAAUACUACAUCAGUACCUCAUUGAUGCAGGAGUGAAUGUAAAAAGAUUCAAGAGAAGGCACGAGGAACGCAGUGAAGGCAGAAUUAGAAGAAACUACGUGGCUUAGGAGGGGAGAUUUAUCUUCUAACUCCUGAAACUAACCAACAGCUACUAAGUGCUGUACGCAAAAAAAUUGAGAAAGAAGAUGGGGAAAAGAAGAGAAGAUGGGGACUAUACGAUUGGAAAGCUUAUUAUACCCCACAAGUACAAGAAGAUUGUUAUGAACAAAGAAGGCAAAAUCCACACCAAUGACUUUGUAGUUUAAGGAAGAAAAGUCCCUCUAGAUGAAAUAAGGAAAGCUUCCUUGAAAAUGCACCAGGAAUUUAUUAGGUACAGGCCUGAUGAGUCAUACAGCACAAAGACUGUGCGAGCUGAAGGAGUUUGAUGAUGGUGAAAUUUUGGAGAAGAUGAGAGAGAGAGAUUAAAGAAAUUAGAGAGACACUUGCUUGUGUGGCAUG